rnacentral:rRNA from 1 species
AGCGAACGCUGGCGGCAGGCUUAACACAUGCAAGUCGAGCGGGCACUUUCGGGUGUCAGCGGCGGACGGGUGAGUAACGCGUGGGAACGUGCCCUCUGGUUCGGAAUAACUCAGGGAAACUUGAGCUAAUACCGGAUACGCCCUUUUGGGGAAAGGCUUGCUGCCGGAGGAUCGGCCCGCGUCUGAUUAGCUAGUUGGUGAGGUAACGGCUCACCAAGGCGACGAUCAGUAGCUGGUCUGAGAGGAUGAUCAGCCACACUGGGACUGAGACACGGCCCAGACUCCGACGGGAGGCAGCAGUGGGGAAUAUUGGACAAUGGGCGCAAGCCUGAUCCAGCCAUGCCGCGUGAGUGAUGAAGGCCUUAGGGUUGUAAAGCUCUUUUAUCCGGGACGAUAAUGACGGUACCGGAGGAAUAAGCCCCGGCUAACUUCGU